rnacentral:rRNA from 1 species
UUCCGAUCUAACGAGACCUUAACCUGCUAAAUAGCCAGGCCGGCUCUCGCUGGUCGCCGGCUUCUUAGAGGGACUGUCAGCGUCUAGCUGACGGAAGUUUGAGGCAAUAACAGGUCUGUGAUGC